rnacentral:rRNA from 1 species
AGUGGCAAACGGGUGAGUAACGCGUGGGAACGUUCCCUUUGGUACGGAAUAACUUCGGGAAACCGAAGCUAAUACCGUAUAAGUCCUUCGGGAGAAAGAUUUAUCGCCAAAGGAUGGGCCCGCGUUGGAUUAGCUAGUUGGUAGGGUAAAGGCCUACCAAGGCUACGAUCCAUAGCUGGUCUGAGAGGAUGAUCAGCCACACUGGGACUGAGACACGGCCCAGACUCCUACGGGAGGCAGCAGUGGGGAAUAUUGGACAAUGGGGGCAACCCUGAUCCAGCCAUGCCGCGUGAGUGAAGAAGGCCUUAGGGUUGUAAAGCUCUUUUGGCGGGGACGAUAAUGACGGUACCCGCAGAAUAAGCCCCGGCUAACUUCGUGCCAGCAGCCGCGGUAAUACGAAGGGGGCUAGCGUUGUUCGGAAUCACUGGGCGUAAAGCGCACGCAGGCGGAUUGAUAAGUCAGGGGUGAAAUCCCGGAGCUCAACUUCGGAAUUGCCUUUGA